CCUACGGGGGGCAGCAGUGAGGAAUAUUGGUCAAUGGGCGGAAGGCUGAACCAGCCAAGCCGCGUGAAGGACGACGGUGCCAAGCAUUGUAAACUUCUUUUGUCAAGGGACAAAAUCAGCCUCGAGUGCCUGACCGAGGGUACUUGAAGAAAAAGCAUCGGCUAACUCCGUGGCAGCAGCCGCGGUAAUACGGAGGAUGCGAGCGUUUUCCGGAUUUAUGGGGUUUAAAGGGUGCGUAGGCGGAAUGUUAAGUCAGCGGUAAAAGCCCGGGGCUCAACCCCGGCGAGCCGUUGAAACUGGCUGUCUUGAGAGGGCGAGAGGUAUGCGGAAUGCGCAGUGUAGCGGUGAAAUGCUUAGAUAUGGCGCAGAACUCCGAUUGCGAAGGCAGCAUACCGGCGGCGAUCUGACGCUGAGGUUCGAAAGCGUGGGUAGCAAACAGGAUUAGAUACCCGUGUAGUC
rnacentral:rRNA from 1 species